AUACAGAGGGUGCGAGCGUUAAUCGGAUUUACUGGGCGUAAAGCGUGCGUAGGUGGUUGGGUAAGUCAGAUUUGAAAGCCCCGGGCUUAACCUGGGAACUGCAUUUGAUACUGCCUAGCUAGAGUUUGGUAGAGGGAAGUGGAAUUCCAGGUGUAGCGGUGAAAUGCGUAGAUAUCUGGAGGAACACCAGUGGCGAAAGCGGCUUCCUGGACCGAAACUGACACUGAGGCACGAAAGCGUGGGGAGCAAACGGGAUUAGAAACCCGAGUAGUCC
rnacentral:rRNA from 1 species